UUAGAGUUUGAUCCUGGCUCAGAUUGAACGCUGGCGGUAUGCUUAAGACAUGCAAGUCGAACGGAAUCUUCGGAUUCAGUGGCGGACGGGUGAGUAACACGUGGGAAUCUACUGAGUAGUGGGGGACAGCCCGGCGAAAGCCGGAUUAAUACCGCAUACGCCCUACGGGGGAAAGGCGCGAGCCGCUAUUCAAUGAGCCCGCGUAAGAUUAGCUAGUUGGUAAGGUAAAGGCUUACCAAGGCGACGAUCUUUAGCUGGUCUGAGAGGAUGACCAGCCACAUCGGGACUGAGACACGGCCCGGACUCCUACGGGAGGCAGCAGUCGGGAAUAUUGGACAAUGGGCGCAAGCCUGAUCCAGCAAUACCGCGUGUGUGAAGAAGGCCUGCGGGUUGUAAAGCACUUUCAGUUGGGAAGAUAAUGACGUUACCAACAGAAGAAGCACCGGCUAACUCCGUGCCAGCAGCCGCGGUAAUACGGAGGGUGCAAGCGUUAAUCGGAAUUACUGGGCGUAAAGCGUGCGUAGGCGGUUAUUUAAGUCAGAUGUGAAAUCCCCGGGCUCAACCUAGGAACUGCAUCUGAUACUGGGUGACUAGAGUGUGGGAGAGGAGAGUGGAAUUUCCGGUGUAGCGGUGAAAUGCAUAGAGAUCGUAAAGAA
rnacentral:rRNA from 1 species